UGUAACGAAGGCGUAUGUUUCCUGGCGCCUUGUCCGAGAAAGGGCAAGAAGAAAGUGAGUUCCGCCUCUUUCUUGGGCGACUGGGUAUUUCCGUUGACAGAAGGUGACGUGAGUUCCUUUCAGCGUUUAGACGCUAGACCUACCACCGAGCCAGACUCGGGUAGACGGUACGUUGACCAGUAAGUUUCUGAGGGUGAGAAAUACUGAGUACUUCGAAUCGGGCCCUGAAACACCCGUAUACAAUCAGAACUUUAAAAUAAUGAUUUCAGUUUUGGAACGCAGAGGAGUCUGGCCUUUUCGCGGUCUUUGACUUGGCUGUGUCAUUGGCUGAAAAAGUUAUCAAUUUGAACGUAGCUCCGCGUCCACCCCAGGCAAUCCUGGGAUUUGUGGUCCUGGACGCAUAUGUCCCAUAGCUUUGAAUGUGAUUGUUGUUGCUGCUUCUCCCAUGUUAACAACCGCUGAUAGUUACUGUGGUUUUCUUGUCUUCCGUUGUGCUUUCUUAUCCUUUCGCUUAUCAGCAGUAUUAAAGCCAAAGGACACUUAGGAAAACUAGAAGGUCUUCAUGUAUGUAAAGUUUUACACAGUGAAGUUACACAGUGUGUGGAAUUCAAGCAUCCUGUUUAUAGCAGGAGAGCUAUGUCAACAAAGCAAACAUGUGAAACAGUCCUGCUGCAGAGUGACGUGGAUCUGCCUUUCUCAUUGACUAUCAAGAGCCAAGAGAGAUGGGUCACCUUUCACUUAUUAAUUCUAUUAAAUCCCAAUGUCAUAUUCUCACCAUCUCA